rnacentral:rRNA from 1 species
AGUGAACGCUGGCGGUAGGCCUAACACAUGCAAGUCGAACGGCAGCACAGUAAGAGCUUGCUCUUACGGGUGGCGAGUGGCGGACGGGUGAGGAAUACAUCGGAAUCUACUUUUUCGUGGGGGAUAACGUAGGGAAACUUACGCUAAUACCGCAUACGACCUACGGGUUAAAGCAGGGGAUCUUCGGACCUUGCGCGAUUGAAUGAGCCGAUGUCGGAUUAGCUAGUUGGCGGGGUAAAGGCCCACCAAGGCGACGAUCCGUAGCUGGUCUGAGAGGAUGAUCGGCCACACUGGAACUGAGACACGGUCCAGACUCCUACGGGAGGCAGCAGUGGGGAAUAUUGGACAAUGGGCGCAAGCCUGAUGCAGCAAUACCGCGUGGGUGAAGAAGGCCUUCGGGUUGUAAAGCCCUUUUGUUGGGAAAGAAAAGCAGCAGGUUAAUACCCCGCUGUUCUGACGGUACCCAAAGAGUAAGCACCGGCUAACUUCGUG